ACCACCACCUCCACCCGAGUGGGGUCUGGGCCCUGGGUCACAGGCUCAGCGGGUCAUUGGCGACCUUGAGCAGCACGGCUGAAGGACUCAGGUUUCCUUCUGGGCUCUUAUCCCUGGACCUGCUCAGCCAUUUUAUUUAAUUAAUUAAUUUUUGAGACAGCGUCUCACUUUAUCACCCAGGCUGGAGUGCGGUGGUGCGAUCACAGCUUACUGCAGCCUCGACCUCCUGGACUCAGGGGAUCCACCUGGCUCAGCCUCCUGAGUAGCUGAGACCACAGGCAUGUGACACCACACCUCGCUAAUGUUUAAAAUUUUUGCCGAGACGGGGUCUCACUUUGUUGCCCAUGCUGGUCUUGAGCUCCUGGACUCAAGCGAUCCUCUCUCCUCAGCCUCCUGAAGUGCUGGAAUGACAGGCGUGAAGCACCGCGCUGGGCUGCUCAGCCAUUUCAGAGCCGGCUGGACCUGCCCAGGGUGGCUUGGAGGGAUGGUCCAGCAGCCGUUACGGCGGGCACCGUGUAGCCCUGGGACGCAGGGACGUGCAGCCCCGGCCUAGAGGGGCACGUUCUAUCCCAGCCUUGUGAGUUGGGAAUGAGCGUCACUCUCCCCACCAGUGGCCGCUCUCUGCUGCCUGGGCCUUGGCUGCAGCCUGGUGGUAGGUGAGGGGCCUCGGUUGUCUAUGUGGAGCGGGCAGGGCUAGAUCCCACCUUCCUCCCAUCUGACCUCAGAACCCAGGCCCCUGCCCACUGCCCCACACUCCCUGCGGCGUCUCAGGGAGUCUGUGUCCUACUGAGAGGCAGGACACUGUCUUCCAGGAGAGGGAACCCUUCCGGGGAGGAUUGCAGGAAAGUCCAGGGCUCUCCAGAGGUGCGGUGGGCCCCAGCUCAGGGCUUCACAGCUCCGGCAGGAACGUGCUCCCAGAUGAUGCUUCUCCUGAGGGAGGCAGAGGCUGAGGGCACCACGUUGAGGGGAUGCUGGUGCCGCGCCACAGGCUGAUUCAGGCCCCAGCAGGACAGUCCCAGGCCUGGGGAAGGGGCCAUCCUAUACUGCAAAGUGAGCGGCAGACAUGUGCGCGGGGCGCACAGCUCCUGCCCUCGGGGAUCCCGCAGUCGGGUUCAGGAUCUGGCAGCCUGGUGCCAGUGGUUCUGAGUGGGGCUGUUGGCGGCGUCCCAGCUGGGGCUCCAGGCGACUCUCCAGAACUGCCUCUGUAGAGGGCAGGGGCCCUGGGGUAGAGGCGCUCAGGGAGUAGCCCAGGUACAUGGGGAGCCCUGAAGCCCACCCACCGUGUACCCAGUAUCUCCUGAAGCCCACCCACCGUGUACCCAGUAUCUCCUGAAGCCCACCCACCGUGUACCCAGUAUCUCCUGAAGCCCAGCCACCGUGUACCCAGUAUCUCCUGAAGCCCAGCCACCGUGUACCCAGUAUCUCCUGAAGCCCACCCACCGUGUACCCAGUAUCUCCUGAAGCCCAGCCACCGUGUACCCAGUAUCUCCUGAAGCCCAGCCACCGUGUACCCAGUAUCUCCUGAGCCUUCUAGCAGAGUCGGGUCAGGCAGGGGUCGUCCUCCUUCUGGCUCUUCAGAUGUGGCCCCUCGCAUGGGCUCUGGGGUCCCUACCUCUGGACUUGGCCACUACCACAGCAGUACUGGGCGGACUCUGCCUGUGACCCCCAAAUAGCAGUGGGAGUGGCUCUUCCCAGUUUACAGAUGAGGAAACUGAGGCCCAGCGCCGGGAGGCUGCUCACCUGUGUACGCGUGGCUGGUAACUGGGAGUGCUGGGUUGGAUGUGGGUGGGCCGGGGCCCUGCCUGCCUCCUCUGCCGUUUUUGCUGCCAGCCUCUGUGGGCUGGGCACAGAAGGGAACUUGAAACCUUCAAGGGAUGGGCCUGAAACAGGCCUGGCUCUCCGGUGACGGUGACAGCCUCCCAUCCCCCUGCUAGGCAGGUGAGCCCUGGGAUCCUACUGAUCUGUUAGGGCUUUCCAGCUCUCCUUGGAAACUCUGAGGCCCCGAGUCAGGCGAGAAGGGAGGAGGAGGCCAAGAAUGGCGCCUCGCUGCAGAGGAUGGCUUGCCUUCAUCUCUGGCCUCACAGGAGGGUCAGGAGCUCCCGCUGGCUGCGUCCUGUGCUGCCUCCUCCUGGUGGAUGGGAGACAGCCGGCUUUCCGUGGGGCAGUGAAGGCACCGUCUGACCACCUGUGUCACUUUUAGAGACGUGACAGUGUGUGCUCUCCUCGGUCCGACUUUUCAUCCGCAGUGAGCCGCGUCCAGGAAGGAAUGGACUCUAGGGGAGAACCCCCGCAGCCAGCAGUGUUGUCUUUUGGUUCCCCAGGCCUGACCAGGGCGUAUGAGGACCCAGGGGUGAUUUUACCAGCGGGUGGCAGG
rnacentral:lncRNA from 1 species